AGUGAACGCUGGCGGUAGGCCUAACACAUGCAAGUCGAACGGCAGCACAGUAAGAGCUUGCUCUUACGGGGGGCGAGUGGCGGACGGGUGCGGAAGACAGCGGAAUCUACUUUUUCGUGGGUGGUAACGUAGGGAAACUUACGCUAAUACCGCAUACGACCUACGGGUGAAAGCAGGGGAUCUUCGGAACUUGCGCGAUGGAAUGAUCCGAUGUCGGAUUAGCUAGUGGGCGGGGUAAAGGCCCACCAAGGCGACGAUCCGUAGCUGGUCUGAGAGAAUGACCGGAGCUAGUGGAACUGGAUCACGGUCCAGACUCCUACGGGGGGAAGCAGUGGGGAAUUUUGGGAAACGGCAGCAAGCCUGUUCCAGCCAUACGGCGUGGGUGAACAAGGCCUUGGGGUGGUAAAGCCCUUGUGUCGGGAAAGAAAAGCAGCAGGUCAAUACCCCGCUGUUCUGACGGUACCCAAAGAAUAAGCACCGGCUAACUCCGUG
rnacentral:rRNA from 1 species